UGGCGGCAGGCUUACACAUGCAAGUCGAACGGUAGCAGGAGGAAGCUUGCUUUCUUGCUGACGAGUGGCGGACGGGUGAGUAAUGCUUGGGAAUCUGGCUUAUGGAGGGGGAUAACUACUGGAAACGGUAGCUAAUACCGCGUAAUAUCGAGAGAUUAAAGGGUGGGACUUUCGGGCCACCUGCCAUAAGAUGAGCCCAAGUGGGAUUAGGUAGUUGGUGGGGUAAAGGCCUACCAAGCCUGCGAUCUCUAGCUGGUCUGAGAGGGUGGCCAGCCACACUGGAACUGAGACACGGUCCAGACUCCUACGGGAGGCAGCAGUGGGGAAUAUUGCACAAUGGGGGGAACCCUGAUGCAGCCAUGCCGCGUGAAUGAAGAAGGCCUUCGGGUUGUAAAGUUCUUUCGGUGAUGAGGAAGGUGUUUUGUUUAAUAGACAAAGCAAUUGACGUUAGUCACAGAAGAAGCACCGGCUAACUCCGUGCCAGCAGCCGCGGUAAU
rnacentral:rRNA from 1 species